UCACCCAACGGUUUUUAACUUGUAACUAAGAAGUAAAAGCCAUCGUAAAAUCUGCAAACAGCCAAAUCAGAGAAAAAGCAAAGAUAGACCCAGCUGGGUUUUAACUUCAAAGUUUGCUACUCUGCUAGCUCUGGCUCUGGAGCUGCUGCUGCUGCCGCUGCCGCUGCUUCUUCUUCUUCAAGAAAAAAGUAAAAAAAAAGGGGUGGGUUUUUGCUUGCUUGGUAUUUGUGUUUGUCUAGUUACUAGUACAAGAAAGAAAGAGAGGAACAGAUAGAGGCAGCUGCAGAAGCCGCAGAGGGGGCACGGAUGAGAUCAUAAAAGAUCUUUUAAUCUCCUGUCUGACCCCAAACACUGUCACUCUUAUCAGUGGCGUCAAGACCUUCCAAUAGGCCAAAUAAAGUAUUCCCGUUUUCUUCCAUUUUCUAUUUUCCAUUCCCCCCCUCUCCCCCCACUCUAUAUAUUUACUUCCCUUCCAAGCACCUCUCUCUCUCUCUCUCUCUGGAAGACCCCCAAAAUAUGAAUAUGAAAGAAUUGGAGGAAAUCCAGUGGAACAACCCUUGUUGAGAAGUUUUGGGGUAUUACCCCCCAUAUAUCCCCAAUUUGUCUGUGUAAAUUUUGGUUAUAGAACCUAGUAGGUCUGAAAAGGAGGAGGAAGAGGAGGAGGAGAAGAAGAAGAAGAAUAGAAUAGAAUAGAAAAGAGAGAUGAGUUAGGGCUGGGUGGUGUGGGUUAGGCUUUUCAGGGGGCUGGCUAGGUUUGGAUUUCAAGAUCAGGGGAUGGAAUUUGGAGGGUUGAAUGGCAGGGCCUUUUGGGAGAGGCAGAGGCAGAAGCGCAACAAGUUUCAGGUUUCACAGUGCUGGCAGCAGCAAAGGGCGAGCCUUGUGGAAACGACUCACUAAAGCUGGAACAGGAAAAGCAAAACAAGGGUCUGACUCUGGAUCCUCGGAGAAAUCAUCACCAUCUUCAUCUUCAUCCCCAACAUCAACAUCCGAACCAGAACCAGAACCAGAACCAGAACCAAGUCCAUGUAGAAGAGGAAGAGGAGCCAGAACUGUUGUUUGGGAGAUUGGAUUCACAAAAUCAGCAGCCACCAAAGAAACGCCCUUUUUUGCCGUCGUUUUCUUCCGCGGGGCAAAACGUCGAACAUGUGCGAGGCAGAAUGGGAGAUACUCACCACCAGACAACCUCGUCAAGACUGGGCCUGAGGCACGCCGCCGCCGGCGAGAUCGUCGAAGUCCAAGGCGGCCACAUUGUGCGCUCUACCGGCCGGAAAGACCGCCACAGCAAGGUCUGCACCGCGAAGGGGCCGAGGGACCGACGCGUCCGGCUCUCGGCUCACACCGCCAUUCAGUUCUACGACGUCCAGGACCGACUUGGCUACGACCGCCCCAGCAAGGCCGUCGACUGGCUCAUUAAAAAGGCCAGGGCCGCCAUCGACGAGCUUGACGAGCUGCCUCCGUGGCAGCCGACGACCACGACGAAUGCCAAUCUCGAGCAGGAACAACCACCGCCUCAGUCCAACCAGUUUGCCGGCGGCUCGUCCUCGACGAAUCCUAUGAUGGGCGAGGAGAUUCAGAACCAGCUCAGCGAGAACAGCGCCAGCUUCUUGCCGCCGUCGUUGGACUCCGACGCCAUAGCCGAUACAAUCAAGUCGUUCUUCCCGAUGGGCGCUAAUUCGGGGGAGCCGAAUUCCUCGGCUAUGCAGUUCCACAGCUUCGCGCCGAGCCAGAGCCAAGAUCUGAGGCUCUCGCUUCAAUCCUUUCCGGACCCGAUUCUUCUCCACCACCACCACCACCAGCAGCAGCAGCAGCAGCAACAACAGAGCGCAACGCAUCAUCACGCUGAGAACCGAACCAUUUUCUCUGGACCCGCCCCGCUGGGUUACGACGGGUCGGGCUGGCCCGAGCACCAGGCCGCGGAGAUCGGGCGGAUCCAGAGAAUGGUCGCGUGGAACGGCGGUGGAGACGCCGGUAUUGGCGGCGGCGGCGGAUUCCUCUUCAACUCGCCGCCUCCGCCGUCAUUAAUCAGCCAAAACCAGUUUUUUUCACAGAGGGGACCCCUUCAGUCCAGUAACACCCAGUCUGUUCGUGCUUGGAUAGACCCGUCUUCCAUUGCCGCCGCCACCCACCAAAACCUUUCGCUUCCCAUCUAUCCAUCAUCGCUUCCGGGGAUUGGCUUUGCCUCCGUCGGCGGCGGGUUUCACAUUCCAGCACGAAUUCAGGGUGAAGAAGAGGAGCACGACGGUGUUUCCGACAAGCCGUCCUCUGCUUCCUCUGAUUCUCGCCAUUGAUUGACCUCUAGACCUUCCUUUUGCCUCCCUCCCUCUCUCUCAGGUCAGCCCUUCAAUACACCCGUCGAUCAUCGCUCUAAUACCACUUAUUAGGAUUCGUCCUUCUUGUUGGGGAAACAACUCCGAUUCAAUUCAUACUUAACAAGUGGGAUUGGAGCUGACUGAUUACCCAACAAACGGGCUUCAUCCAUUCUCGACUGCAGCAGCCCAGAAUUCUCAAGAGUUAUAUGGUACUUAACACUUCUACGGGCCAUCAAAUCGGGGAUCGAGACAAACACAGAGAGGAGGGAGAUGCAUUUUGGUCAGUCUAGUCAGUUCAAUGAUGGCGGCAACUACACUGGGAAGAAGAAAUCUGAUUGAAAUUCAGGUUUUUUAAUCCCGGUUUUCGAUUAUGUUUUCAUUGCAUAUGUUCUACUUGGCUGUGUAAGUGUGCUCUUUGAGCUCAACUUUGUAAUUCUAUGUUGGUUUGCUAGAACUUCUAUGUUGCACUGUUUCUAGAUUGUCCUGUUUGAAACUCUACUAAAAGAGAACUUAUUUAUUCUCA